UUAUUUUUUAUUUUUUUUCACAUGCGAAAAAAACAAGUAACAAAAGUAAUUUAAGGGUUUUAGAGAAAAGACUAGGUAGGGUAAACGGCGGCCGAUCAAAUAUCGGGGCUGUGAUCCCAGCCGUUGGAUUACUCUACUCCUUUGCUAUAUAAAACCCCCGUGGAUCCUUGAAUCAAAGCACCGUUUCUCACCUCCUCUCUCGGCAGUUAGGGUUUCUCAGAUUCUCCCCCAAUUUUUAGUGUUUCGCUUUCGUUUCUCUGUCUGAUCUGGUUUAUUGCUAGCUAGCUCCAUCCGAAGAAGCAAAGAAAGCUUCACUAUCUGGUCGGUGGGAUCUUAUCAAUUCCCAUUAGACUCGUUCCCUUGAAGCAACAGUAAUAGGUCCGGUUCUGAAUUUACAUGAAUUUAUUUUGCAAAUAACCCAAUUAAAAAAAUACACAGAUACUUAUCUGAGGGAUGAAGGAAGAAAACCGAGGGAAAAAGCAGAGGUUUCUUUUGCUUUGAAUGGAACGGAUUGUCUGGAAGAAAGAAGCAGAAUUUGGGAUGAAAUUGCAGGAUGGACAUCUGGAAGAAAAAUAAUAAUAAUAAUAAAUAAACAAAUAAGGAGACAUUGAAGUAAUUUUAAAUUUUUAUUAAAGAUAAAAUAGAUAUAGAUGGGGUGUAGAUGAAAAGGGAUUGUUGAGAGGGAAGGGUAUUUUUUUAUUAAGGCCUUUUAUAAUAUUUAAAGGGUAUUGGAUUAAAGUUUCCUGUUUUUUACUUCAAUUUAACGGGCGUCUUUGAGGCCCACAAUUAAAUGGGCUGGCCGUAGAUAGAAAAUGAUUUUGGCAGGCCAGGGACUGUUUAUUUUUUGUUUGUUUGUUGUCCGAGUGCUUCUAUUUACACAAACUAAAUAUCUCUUCCCAUUGCAUU